rnacentral:rRNA from 1 species
AUUGAACGCUGGCGGCAGGCCUAACACAUGCAAGUCGAGCGAGCGGCGGACGGGUGAGUAAUGUAUGGGGAUCUGCCCGAUGGAGGGGGAUAACCACUGGAAACGGUCGCUAAUCCCGCAUACUAUCGGAUGUACCCAUAUGGGAUUAGCUAGUAGGUGGGGUAACGGCUCACAUAGGCGACGAUCUCUAGCUGGUCUGAGAGGAUGACCAGCCACACUGGGACUGAGACACGGCCCAGACUCCGACGGGAGGCAGCAGUGGGGAAUAUUGCACAAUGGGCGCAAGCCUGAUGCAGCCAUGCCGCGUGUAUGAAGAAGGCCUUAGGGUUGUAAAGUACUUUCAGCGGGGAGGCGUUACCCGCAGAAGAAGCACCGGCUAACUCCGUGCCAGCAGCCGCGGUAAUAC